rnacentral:rRNA from 1 species
GAUGAACGCUGGCGGCGUGCCUAAUACAUGCAAGUCGAGCGAACAGAUGAGGAGCUUGCUCCUCUGACGUUAGCGGCGGACGGGUGAGUAACACGUGGAUAACCUACCUAUAAGACUGGGAUAACUUCGGGAAACCGGAGCUAAUACCGGAUAAUAUAUUGAACCGCAUGGUUCAAUAGUGAAAGACGGUUUUGCUGUCCCUUAUAGAUGGAUCCGCGCCGCAUUAGCUAGUUGGUAAGGUAACGGCUUACCAAGGCAACGAUGCGUAGCCGACCUGAGAGGGUGAUCGGCCACACUGGAACUGAGACACGGUCCAGACUCCUACGGGAGGCAGCAGUAGGGAAUCUUCCGCAAUGGGCGAAAGCCUGACGGAGCAACGCCGCGUGAGUGAUGAAGGUCUUCGGAUCGUAAAACUCUGUUAUUAGGGAAGAACAAAUGUGUAAGUAACUAUGCACGUCUUGACGGUACCUAAUCAGAAAGCCACGGCUAACUACGUG